rnacentral:rRNA from 1 species
UACGGAGGAUGCAAGCGUUAUCCGGAAUUAUUGGGCGUAAAGCGUCCGCAGGUGGCACUUCAAGUCUGUCGUCAAAGACCGGGGCUUAACCCUGGAAAGGCGAUGGAAACUGAAAGGCUAGAGAGAGGUAGGGGUAGAGGGAAUUCCCAGUGUAGCGGUGAAAUGCGUAGAGAUCGGGAAGAACAUCGGUGGCGAAAGCGCUCUACUGGACCGCAACUGACACUCAGGGACGAAAGCUAGGGGAGCGAAUGGG